GGGCCACUAGCUCAGAUGGUAGAGCACUUGACUUUUAAUCAAGUUGUCUGGGGUUCGAUUCCCCAGUGGCUCACUA
rnacentral:tRNA from 5 species